rnacentral:ncRNA from 1 species
GCAUCUAGAUAUGAAAACACAGUCCCCUUCGGGUAGUCGUGUGCUUGCGGGAGUCCGCAUCAGUAACCAGCCUCUUUGGGUUGUCCCUUCUCUGCAUGGUCAUC